GUCUUUUUGUUAAAAAUUUAAAGUCGGGCCUGCCCACUGAAACUUUAAAUGGCCGUGGUAUUUUGACCGUGCUAAGGUAGCAUAAUCAUUAGUUUUUUAAUUGAAAGCUGGAAUGAAAGGUUUGAUAAAAAAAUGACUGUCUCUAUUUAAUUUUAUUAGAAAUUUAUUUUUAAGUUCAAAAGCUUAAUUUUUAUUAAAAGACGAGAAGACCCUAUAGAGUUUAAUAAUUUAAGGUAAUUUAUAUUUUAGAAUUAAUUUAUUUAUUUUUUAAUAUUAUUUAAUUGGGGUGAUUGAAAAAUUUAAUUAACUUUUUUUAUAUUUAACCAUUAAUUUAUGAUAAUUUGAUCCAAUUUUUUGAUUAUAAGAUAAAAUUACCUUAGGGAUAACAGCGUAAUUUUUUUAGAAAGUUCAAAUUAAAAGAAAAGAUUGCGACCUCGAUGUUGGAUUAAAAUUAAAUUUUGGUGUAGAAGCUAAAAAUUUUAAGUCUGUUCGACUUUUAAAAUUUUACA
rnacentral:rRNA from 1 species